GGGGCUGAUUCUGGAUUAGACGGGACUUACAAAACUUAAGGUGCAUGCCGAGGUGAGGUUGGCCUCGUAAAAAGCCUAAAAAAAAUAAUUGCAAACGACUCGCAAUACGAAUCUGCUGCAUUAGCAGCCUAAUCAGCUUAAUAAACUGAAGAUUCUCUCUCUCCCUAGCCUCCGCUCUUAGGACGGGGAUCAAGAGAGAUUAAACACAGAAGAGAUCGCGUAUAUGUCCUGCCUGGGGAUAAAACGUUAAAUCACAUCAGGCUAGUCUAUUAGUCGCGUGUCUAUCCGCAGCUGACAGAUAAAUGUAAAGAUCAGACUAAGCAUGUAGUACCAAAAGCGUAGAAAUUCCGGACGCGGGUUCAAAUCCCGCCAGCUCCAC
rnacentral:tmRNA from 1 species